CAGCCCGCGUGCAUCCCCGGCCGCGAGUCCCUGGACACCCACCCCCGCGAUUCCGGACCCCUCCCCCAAGGCAGAGUACCCCUCCCAGAGUCGCCCUGUCCUCUGCCCCUCAGAACCGCCUCCCUCAGGCAAGAAGGCUUGGGUUCCCCUCCCCAGCGGUGUCACGACUGUCCCUGGUGGUGGGCUGGGAGGGCGGAUGAGGAAGCAAACCCGCCCUCCAUCCUGCAGCAAACGUGAGAUGCUCAGCUCUGAGGAGGACCUUGGCUCGGGUCUUGGGUUUCUGUCCCUGGUCUCCAGUCCCCUUGCUUUGGGCGAUCCUGGUGGGCAUAUCCUGGCGAGAGCGCGUAGAGCGCAGAGUGCCUCCCCUUCCGGCUCCCUAGGCAGAGACCGGAAGGGGCUGGGGCCCUGCAGAUCCCCCCAGGGUAACCCCAGACCUAAAGACCUCCCACGGAGUUCCCCGUAAGCGGUCCACUCACUGCCUCUCAGUAGCCUCAAGCUGGGGACCAAGCCUUGGACCCAGGGGACACUUUGGAGGACCCUGCACCGUGACAGUGUGGAGGCAUAAUCUCGUGGACAGCGUCAUCUUGCUGCUGUGCUGCCAGAGAAGAGAUACAGAAGACUUUGGGAGACGCACUUGGGAGAACCCUCGAAGUGGAACUUGGCUCUGGCCUGUGACGGGGCUGGCUUAUUCCCUGGGAGCUUCAUGAGAGUAAUCAGGUGGGGACCCUCAUGAGUCUCCUAUGUCCCCUGUCAAGGACAUUGCUGCUGAAAUCCCUGCUGCUGCGACUCUGAAGUGGUACAACCGCCCAGGGGACGAUAUGACCCUCAACACAUGUUCCCUGGGCUCGGCUAUUUGAAAGGUGGAGUUUUACCUAGGAGGAUACUGCAAGUUUAGUAGGCUGGGGAUACCACUAUGGAUUAAAUGUCCAAUAGACUAGCAUGCGUCACACUCACUAGUGUGAAGCAUAAAGAUUUUUUUGCAACUAGUA